rnacentral:rRNA from 1 species
AGAGUUUGAUCCUGGCUCAGAUUGAACGCUGGCGGAAUGCUUUACACAUGCAAGUCGAGCGGCAGCGCGGGGGCAACCCUGGCGGCGAGCGGCGAACGGGUGAGUAAUGUAUCGGAACGUACCCAGUCGUGGGGGAUAACUAUCCGAAAGGAUAGCUAAUACCGCAUACGUCCUGAGGGAGAAAGCGGGGGACCGAAAGGCCUCGCGCGAUUGGAGCGGCCGAUAUCGGGUUAGCUAGUUGGUGAGGUAAAGGCUCACCAAGGCGACGAUCCGUAGCUGGUCUGAGAGGACGACCAGCCACACUGGAACUGAGACACGGUCCAGACUCCUACGGGAGGCAGCAGUGGGGAAUUUUGGACAAUGGGGGCAACCCUGAUCCAGCCAUUCCGCGUGAGUGAAGAAGGCCUUCGGG